rnacentral:rRNA from 1 species
UGUAAACAAUUACAUAGUGAAACUGCGAAUGGCUCAUUAUAUAAGUUAUCGUUUAUUUGAUAGUUCCUUACUACUUGGAUAACCGUGGUAAUUCUAGAGCUAAUACAUGCUAAAAACCCCGACUUCGGAAGGGGUGUAUUUAUUAGAUUAAAAACCAAUGCCCUUCGGGGCUCACUGGUGAUUCAUAAUAACUUCUCGAAUCGCAUGGCCUUGCGCCGGCGAUGGUUCAUUCAAAUUUCUUCCCUAUCAACUUUCGAUGCUAGAGUAGUGUUCUAGCAUGGUUACAACGGGUAACGGAGGGUUAGGGCUCGACCCCGGAGAAGGAGCCUGAGAAACGGCUACUACAUCCAAGGAAGGCAGCAGGCGCGCAAAUUACCCAAUCCCGACACGGGGAGGUAGUGACGAUAAAUACUGAUACAGGGCUCUUUUGGGUCUUGUAAUUGGAAUGAGUACAAUUUAAAUCCCUUAACGAGGAACAAUUGGAGGGCAAGUCUGGUGCCAGCAGCCGCGGUAAUUCCAGCUCCAAUAGCGUAUAUUAAAGUUGUUGUGGUUAAAAAGCUCGUAGUAGAACCUUGGGCCUGGCUGGCCGGUCCGCCUCACCGCGUGCACUGGUCCGGCCGGGCCUUUCCCUCUGUGGAACCGCAUGCCCUUCACUGGGUGUGCCGGGGAAACAGGACUUUUACUUUGAAAAAAUUAGAGUGCUCCAGGCAGGCCUUUGCUCGAAUACAUUAGCAUGGAAUAAUAGAAUAGGACGUGUGGUUCUAUUUUGUUGGUUUCUAGGACCGCCGUAAUGAUUAAUAGGGACAGUCGGGGGCAUCAGUAUUCAAUUGUCAGAGGUGAAAUUCUUGGAUUUAUUGAAGACUAACUACUGCGAAAGCAUUUGCCAAGGAUGUUUUCAUUUAUCAGGAACGAAAGUUAGGGGAUCGAAGACGAUCAGAUACCGUCGUAGUCUUAACCAUAAACUAUGCCGACUAGGGAUCGGACGAUGUUAUUUUUUGACUCGUUCGGCACCUUACGAGAAAUCAAAGUGCUUGGGCUCCAGGGGGAGUAUGGUCGCAAGGCUGAAACUUAAAGAAAUUGACGGAAGGGCACCACCAGGGGUGGAGCCUGCGGCUUAAUUUGACUCAACACGGGGAAACUCACCAGGUCCAGACACAAUGAGGAUUGACAGAUUGAGAGCUCUUUCUUGAUUUUGUGGGUGGUGGUGCAUGGCCGUUCUUAGUUGGUGGAGUGAUUUGUCUGCUUAAUUGCGAUAACGAACGAGACCUUAACCUGCUAAAUAGCCCGUAUUGCUUUGGCAGUACGCCGGCUUCUUAGAGGGACUCUCGGCUC